AGGGUUUGAUCAUGGCUCAGAACGUACGCUGGCGGCACGCCUAACACAUGCAAGUCGAACGAAGUAGCAAUACUUAGUGGCAGACGGGUGAGUAACAUGUGGGUAUCUGCCCUUUGGCCUGGAAUAACACGAGGAAACUUGUGCUAAUACCGGAUAAGUCUUUACGGAGAAAGCUUUAUGCACCAUUGGAUGAGCCCGCACUUGAUUAGUUUGUUGGUGGGGUAAUGGCCUACCAAGACUGUGAUCAAUAGCUGAUUUGAGAGGAUGAUCAGCCACAUUGGGACUGAGACACGGCCCAAACUCCUACGGGAGGCAGCAGUGGGGAAUCUUGCACAAUGGAGGAAACUCUGAUGCAGCGAUGCCGCGUGAGUGAAGAAGGCCCUUGGGUUGUAAAGCUCUUUCGUCGGGGAAGAAAAUGACUGUACCCGAAUAAGAAGGUCCGGCUAACUUCGUGCCAGCAGCCGCGGUAAUACGAAGGGACCUAGCGUAGUUCGGAAUUACUGGGCUUAAAGAGUUCGUAGGUGGUUGAAAAAGUUAGUGGUGAAAUCCCAGAGCUUAACUCUGGAACUGCCAUUAAAACUUUUCAGCUAGAGUAUGAUAGAGGAAAGCAGAAUUUCUAGUGUAGAGGUGAAAUUCGUAGAUAUUAGAAAGAAUACCAAUUGCGAAGGCAGCUUUCUGGAUCAUUACUGACACUGAGGAACGAAAGCAUGGGUAGCGAAGAGGAUUAGAUACCCUCGUAGUCCAUGCCGUAAACGAUGUGUGUUAGACGUUGGAAAUUUAUUUUCAGUGUCGCAGCGAAAGCGAUAAACACACCGCCUGGGGAGUACGACCGCAAGGUUAAAACUCAAAUGAAUUGACGGGGACCCGCACAAGUAGUGGAGCAUGUGGUUUAAUUCGAAGAUACGCGCAGAACCUUACCAACACUUGACAUGUUCGUCGCGACUCUAAGAGAUUAGAGUUUUCGGUUCGGCCGGACGAAACACAGGUGCUGCAUGGCUGUCGUCAGCUCGUGUCGUGAGAUGUUGGGUUAAGUCCCGCAACGAGCGCAACCCUCACUUUUAGUUGCCAUCAUUAAGUUGGGCACUCUGAAAGAACUGCCAGUGAUAAGCUGGAGGAAGGUGGGGAUGACGUCAAGUCCUCAUGGCCCUUACGUGUUGGGCUACACACGUGCUACAAUGGUAUCUACAACAGGAAGCAAGACUGCGAGGUCAAGCAAAUCCUUAAAAGAUACCUCAGUUCGGAUUGCACUCUGCAACUCGAGUGCAUGAAGCUGGAAUUACUAGUAAUCGUGGAUCAGCGUGCCACGGUGAAUGCGUUCCCGGGUCUUGUACACACCGCCCGUCACACCAUGGGAGUUGGUUCUACCUUAAGGCAAGGUUUCAAACCCUUGACCACGGUAUAGUCAGCGACUGGGGUGAAGUCAUAACAAGGUAGCCGUA
rnacentral:rRNA from 1 species